rnacentral:lncRNA from 10 species
UGUACACUUCUUGCCAGAGCAGAACUGGGAGGUGAGUGUGGGAAAGGGCUCUUGCUGAAAUGUGGGGACAAAUGUGCUCCUCUCUGGCCCUGUCAGCGUCCUUGGCCCAAGACCUUUGAAGGUGCCCUCGACAGCCCCAACAGGUGAGGAUAAAGAAGUCACCGGUCUGCAACCCAGAAGAGGUCUCUCACCUGAAUCUCACUGUGCUAGACCCUCAUAUUGGAUUUACAGUCUCCAAAAUUGUAAGAAAAUAAAUGUCUAUUGUUUAAACUAUU